GAUGAACGCUGGCGGCGUGCCUAAUACAUGCAAGUCGAGCGAGCAGACGAGGAGCUUGCUCCUCUGACGUUAGCGGCGGACGGGUGAGUAACACGUGGAUAACCUACCUAUAAGACUGGGAUAACUUCGGGAAACCGGAGCUAAUACCGGAUAAUAUAUUGAACCGCAUGGUUCAAUAGUGAAAGACGGUUUUGCUGUCACUUAUAGAUGGAUCCGCGCCGCAUUAGCUAGUUGGUAAGGUAACGGCUUACCAAGGCAACGAUGGGUAGCCGACCUGAGAGGGUGAUCGGCCACACUGGAACUGAGACACGGUCCAGACUCCUACGGGAGGCAGCAGUAGGGAAUCUUCCGAAAUGGGCGAAAGCCUGACGGAGCAACGCCGCGUGAGUGAUGAAGGUCUUCGGAUCGUAAAACCCUGUUAUUAGGGAAGAAAAAAUGUGUAAGUAACUAUGCACGUCUUGACGGUACCUAAUCAGAAAGCCACGGCUAACUACGUG
rnacentral:rRNA from 1 species